rnacentral:tRNA from 1 species
CAGAGAAUAGUUUAGUUUAGAAUCCUGGCUUUGGGAGUCAGGGGUGUGAGUUAAAUUCUCUCUUCUCUGG